rnacentral:rRNA from 1 species
AGGCAGCAGGCGCGCAAAUUACCCACUCCCGGCACGGGGAGGUAGUGACGAAAAAUAACGAUACGGGACUCAUCCGAGGCCCCGUAAUCGGAAUGAGUACACUCUAAACCCUUUAACGAGGAUCAAUUGGAGGGCAAGUCUGGUGCCAGCAGCCGCGGUAAUUCCAGCUCCAAUAGCGUAUAUUAAAGUUGUUGCGGUUAAAAAGCUCGUAGUCGAAUCUGUGUCUCGCGCCGCCGGUUCAUCGCUCGCGGUGUCUAACUGGCGUGCCGCGGGACGUCCUGCCGGUGGGCUUUGCCUCUCGGGGCGGCCCAACUUAGAAUCCCACCGCGGUGCUCUUCGCUGAGUGUCGAGGUGGGCCGGCACGUUUACUUUGAACAAAUUAGAGUGCUUAAAGCAGGCUAAAACUUCGCCUGAAUAUUCUGUGCAUGGAAUAAUGGAAUAGGACCUCGGUUCUAUUUUGUUGGUUUUCGGAACCCCGAGGUAAUGAUUAAUAGGAACGGAUGGGGGCAUUCGUAUUGCGACGUUAGAGGUGAAAUUCUUGGAUCGUCGCAAGACGAACAGAAGCGAAAGCAUUUGCCAAAAACGUUUUCAUUGAUCAAGAACGAAAGUUAGAGGUUCGAAGGCGAUCAGAUACCGCCCUAGUUCUAACCAUAAACGAUGCCAGCUAGCGAUCCGCCGACGUUCCUCCGAUGACUCGGCGGGCAGCAGAAGCGAAAGCAUUUGCCAAAAACGUUUUCAUUGAUCAAGAACGAAAGUUAGAGGUUCGAAGGCGAUCAGAUACCGCCCUAGUUCUAACCAUAAACGAUGCCAGCUAGCGAUCCGCCGACGUUCCUCCGAUGACUCGGCGGGCAGCUUCCGGGAAACCAAAGCUUUUGGGUUCCGGGGGAAGUAUGGUUGCAAAGCUGAAACUUAAAGGAAUUGACGGAAGGGCACCACCAGGAGUGGAGCCUGCGGCUUAAUUUGACUCAACACGGGAAACCUCACCAGGCCCGGACACCGGAAGGAUUGACAGAUUGAGAGCUCUUUCUUGAUUCGGUGGGUGGUGGUGCAUGGCCGUUCUUAGUUGGUGGAGCGAUUUGUCUGGUUAAUUCCGAUAACGAACGAGACUCUAGCCUGCUAACUAGGCGUAUUUUCGACAUCUCAAAGGCCCCACGGCCCGGCGCUCGCGUCGGUGCCGCGCGCGGUUUUUACUGUCGGCGUACAUUCAAUUCUUCUUAGAGGGACAGGCGGCGUCUAGCCGCACGAGAUUGAGCAAUAACAGGUCUGUGAUGCCCUUAGAUGUUCUGGGCCGCACGCGCGCUACACUGAAGGAAUCAGCGUGUCCUCCCUGGCCGAGAGGCCCGGGUAACCCGCUGAACCUCCUUCGUGCUAGGGAUUGGGGCUUGCAAUUGUUCCCCAUGAACGAGGAAUUCCCAGUAAGCGCGAGUCAUAAGCUCGCGUUGAUUACGUCCCUGCCCUUUGUACACACCGCCCGUCGCUACUACCGAUUGAAUGAUUUAGUGAGGUCUUCGGAUCGGUACGCGGUGGCGCUCC